GACGAACGCUGGCGGCGUGCUUAACACAUGCAAGUCGAACGGAAAGGCCCCUUUGGGGGUACUCGAGUGGCGACCGGGUGAGUAACACGUGAGUAACCUGCCCUUGACUUCGGGAUAACUUUAGGAAACUGGGGCUAAUACCGGAUAGGAAUCAUUGCUGCAUGGUGGGGGUUGGAAAGCUUCGGCGGGUUUGGAUGGAUUCGCGGCGUAUCAGCUUGUUGGUGGAGUAGUGGCUUACCAAGGCUUUGACGGGUAGCCGGCCUGAGAGGGCGACCGGCCACAUUGGGACUGAGAGACGGCCCAGACACCUACGGGAGGCAGCAGUGGGGAAGAUUGCACAAUGGGCGGAAGCCUGAUGCAGCAACGCCGCGGGCGGGAUGACGGCCUUCGGGUUGGAAACCGCUUUCAGCAGGGGCGAAGCUUGUGGUGACGGUACCUGCAGAAGAAGCACCGGCUAACUACGUG
rnacentral:rRNA from 1 species